UGAGGAAUAUUGGUCAAUGGGCGGAAGCCUGAACCAGCCAAGUAGCGUGAAGGAUGACUGCCCUAUGGGUUGUAAACUUCUUUUUAUUGGGAACAAAGUUCUCUACGUGUAGAGUUUUGCGUGUACCCUUAGAAUAAGCAUCGGCUAACUCCGUGCCAGCAGCCGCGGUAAUACGGAGGAUGCGAGCGUUAUCCGGAUUUAUUGGGUUUAAAGGGAGCGUAGGUUGUUUAAUAAGCCAGCUGUGAAAUACUGUCGCUCAACGACAGCCGUGCAUUUGGAACUGUUAGACUUGAGUGUACAUGAGGGAAGUGGAAUUCGUGGUGUAGCGGUGAAAUAUUUAGAUAUCACGAAGAACUCCAAUUGCGAAGGCAUCUUCCUAGGGUACAACUGACACUGAGGCUCGAAAGUGUGGGUAUCGAACA
rnacentral:rRNA from 1 species